UACGUAGGGUGCAAGCGUUGUCCGGAAUUAUUGGGCGUAAAGAGCUCGUAGGCGGUUUGUCGCGUCGGCUGUGAAAGCCCGGAGCUCAACUCCGGGUCUGCAGUCGAUACGGGCAGACUUGAGUGUUGCAGGGGAGACUGGAAUUCCUGGUGUAGCGGUGAAAAUGCGCAGAUAUCAGGAGGAACACCGGUGGCGAAGGCGGGUCUCUGGGCAACAACUGACGCUGAGGAGCGAAAGCGUGGGGAGCGAACAGG
rnacentral:rRNA from 1 species